UUAGAUGUUUUCCUGUAGGUAAAGGCUUAGUAGAAGUAUGAAGACAUAGGCUUGGAUCAUGGCUACUGCCACUUCUAGGAUUGUUAGUAGGAGAAGAAUUAUUGUGGUGAGAGUAGAUACUGUGGGUAUGAUGGGGAGGAGUGUGAUGGUGACUGUGGAGAUAAGUUGAAUGAGUAGAUGCCCUGCAGUGAGAUUUGCUGUGAGGCGGACUCCUAGGGCUAAUGGGCGAAUGAGGAGACUAAUAGUUUUGAUUAUGAUUAGGGCUGGGAUUAGUGGUGUGGGUGUGCCUUCAGGUAGGGUGAGUUUUGGGUUGUAGAUAAUGAUGAUGGUUAUUCAACCUAGAUGGGAGAUGGAUGAGAAAGCUAGGAUUUUUCAGGUUUGUGUUUGGUUAAGUCCUAUUCAACCACCUAGGGCGGUUGAUGUGAUGGCUAUGGUGGUGAGUAGUAUAGGGUUGAGUGAGUGUGAUGUAAGGAAUAGGAUGGCGGUUGGUGGGAGUUUUAUUACUGUUGACAGUAAUAUGGCUGUGGUGAGAGAUGAGCCUUGGAGUACUUCUGGGAAUCAGAAGUGGAAUGGGGCUAGUCCUAGUUUGAUGGCAAUUGCGGUGGUUAGUAGGAGGCAUGAUGGGGAGUUGGUGAGUUGGGUGAUGUCUCAUUGUCCAGUGGACCAUGCGUUGGUUAUGCUUGAGAAGAGAACUAGUGCUGAGGCGGUUGCUUGUACUAGAAAGUAUUUGAUUGUUGCUUCAAUGGCUCGGGGGUGGUGGGACUUUGAGAUUAGGGGAAUAAUGGCUAGGGUGUUGAUUUCUAGCCCGGUUCAGGCUAUUAUUCAGUGGUUGCUUGAGAUUGUGAUUGUUGUUCCUAGGAGUAAGUUUAGGGUUAAGAUGAGUUUUGCAUGGGG
rnacentral:lncRNA from 1 species